UGGGCAUAUGAUGUGUUGGACCUCAGC
rnacentral:piRNA from 1 species